CUGACCUCUCCCAAAAUCAGUUCGCGUUUAGGAUCUUUUUCAUCAAAUAUAAAAACCCAGCCCAGUUCAUAAUUCGUUUGGCCGCAACCCUGAGACGCUUUACAGCCCCAGACCCUGAAAGGUCAGAAGGCUGUCUUAUUCUCAAUAUGCAUUUUAUUUUAUUACCCAGUCUGCUCCUGACAUGAAAUAAAGCUCCAAAAAUUAAAUUCUGGCCCUCAGACCCCACAACAGGACUUAAUUAACCUCACGUUCAAGGUGUACAAUAAUAGAGUAGAGGCAGCCAAGUAGCAAUGUAUUUCUGAGUUGCAAUUCCUUGCCUCCACUGUGAGACAAACCCCAGCCACAACUCCAGCACACAAGAACUCCAAACACCUGAACCGCAGCUGCCAGGGGUUCCUCCAGAACCUCCUCCCCCAGGAGCUUGCUACAAGGGCUGGAAAUCUGGCCACUGGGCCAAGGAAUGCCCACAGCCUGGGAUUCCUCCUAAGCCAUGUCCCAUCUGUGUGGGAUGCCACUGAAAAUAGGACUGUUCAACUCACCUGGCAGCCACUUCCAGAGCCCCUGGAACUCUGGCCCAAGGCUCCCUGACUGACUCCUUCCCUGAUCUUCUCAGCUUAGCAGCUGAAGACUGACACUGCCUGAUUGCCUCAGAAGCCUACAGGACCAUCACAGAUGCCCUAGAUAACUCUCACAGUGGAGGAAUUCUUGAGUGAUGGGUGCUACAGAUCUGAAAAUCAUUAUGCUGGAAUAUUUCCACUCCUCCCAACCACAAAUAUGUGUCUAUCAAGAGAGGCUGUAUGUUGCUGUGAAUCCCAAAUGGUAUUAAUUGAAUUAGAGGUUCUAAAAUAUCAUUGUGAACAUUUAAAAAGUUCUGCCAUUUCUAAUUGGUUCAUGGUUGUGUAACAAAAAUUGUGAAUGUAUUUUGAAGCAACUCAGAAUGAUAAAAUGAGAUUUUACUCAAACCCUUCAUAUAAUUUCACCUUGAUUCUAGAAUCAUUGGGUGAGUUACAUCAAGUAUUUCAAUAAGCAAUAAAAAAGUUAGAAUGGGGGGAAAGGACCAGAUGGCCAACUAGAUGCAGCUAGGAAAUACCUCUCCCAUUGAAAGAAAGCAGAAUAUGAAGUAAACCAUCAUAUUUUGAACAGAUCUUUUGAGAGAAAAUACUGAACAUCAAUAAAGGGGGGAUGCAGAAACUGAGGUUGAAGACAGAGAAAGCUGGGAAGCCUACACUGAGUCACCGAGUGUCAGACUGGCUCCUGGUCCUGAACAAGUCCUAAGGAAGGGUUAAGUGAAGGAAGUCCAGGGCACCACACUCCCAUCAUGGACCUCUGGGAUCCUAGCUACAAAAGAUCCCAUGACUCCAUAGACAUUUGAAUUGGCAGGGGAAACUGCCUGGAAAGUAAGAAGAAGAAGAGCUCAAAACUGUGUGGAGCUCAGAAGGUGUUAUAGCGCAUGGUACAGCUGCAGCAAAACAUCACCCAGGCAUUCAUCCCCCAAGGCUCCCCAUCUGGAUCCAAGUGACUAUAACAACUGCUGACUGUCAGGCCAGGAGAGAGCAGGAUUGUCUUUCCUCUGGGACCGGAAAGCAUCUGAUCCCUGUGCUGCCCCUUGUCUGCCAGCCCCUUCCAAGGCCACGGGUCCGGCCACUCCCACAAGAGAGUGAACACAGAACAGCCUCCACUUCCCAUCUGAGUGUUUUGCUGGCAACCUGGGAUUAGUUCAGCACCCCAAGUACAACUGGUGCUUGACCCUGAGGGGCCAGAGGAAAAAGCUGUGGCCCAAUUCCCAAACCCCUAGGUUUGAGUAUACCACCCACAGGUAUUGAGCUGAGAUCUGUGGCUAGAGCUUGAGCAGGGGAGGAGCCUCUACUCUCAGAACACAGAAAACAGUGAGGCACAGGUUUAUGUUCAGGCAUGGGAGCUGAGCAUCCCUCCCUCAGCAAGACUGGUGCAGGAAGUGUGUAGCCUGUUGGGCAGCCACAGCUUUUGCCCAAGGCAGCCCCAUGGCAUGGAACACCUGGAAUAGCCCAGUGAUCUGGGUGAAGAAGGCUUCAGACAAAUCUAGCUGUUCAGGCCUACUCCUGGGGCAGACAGCAGAGGGAAACUGGGUCAGGGGAACACAAGCUGGGGAGGCCCCAAGGCCACCUGCUGGUUAAAAAUCCCAGGCCAUGCGCACCACACCAGCUGCACACCUGUGGCAUCACAGUCUUGCCAGCGGAUCCUUCACCUUUGACCAACUGCAUCACCAGAUCACCCACAGACAUAUCCUACAACCUUCUCUGACUGCCCAGCUUAGACCAGUGGGUCUCUGGGGAGCUACAGAUCUCUUAGUGACCUAAUCUUCAGUUCAGGCCACCCCUAAGGGAGGAGGGAGUGCAACCUGCCAGGGUCCCCCCUUGAGGCUGAGGAAACACAGGCAUGGUGCCACUGAUUGCAGAGGGCUCCCCUAAGGCCCAAGAAUGACCUUGGUGAAACGGUCAUUUCUUGCCCCUCUAUCUCUCCUUCCCCAGAAGACUGCUCUAUAUGCACUGAAAUACAAAACAGGUGUAUGGCAGAGCCUAUCUGCUAGACCUUACUCUUAAGCACCAUCUAUUGUAUCAUAACCUGAAUUACACCACCAAAUAAAAACAAAUUCCUUCACUUUGCAAUGCCUAUGAAACCCAGUGCAGGAAACUAACCACAAUUAAGGAACUCAUGCAGAGCCUUGGCACUCUGAAAGCACAAAGAACAUCCAGAAAUGAAGCCAACUAAUGGUACACGACAUAUACCACAGUCAAACUCUCAAGGGAAAAAAGAAUAUAAAAACAAAAAAACCCAUCCAAACAAUAGCAAUUUAAAAGUAACAGGAAGCACCAGCCCCUCAGAUGAGAAGAAAUCAGUGCAAGAAUUCUAGCAAUUCAGAAGGUCAGAGUGUUUCCUUACCGCUAAAGGAUUGCACUAGGUCCCUAGCAAUGGAUCCUAAGCAGAUUGAGAGGUCUGAAAUGACAGAAAUAUAAUUUAGAACCUGGAUGGCAAGGAAGCUCAGUGAGAUUCCAGAGAAAGUUGAAAUUCAGUUUAAGGAAACCAAUGAAAUAAUCCAGGAGUUAAAAGGUAACACAGCCUUUUUAUGAAAGAACCAAACUGAACUUCUGGAAUUGAAAAAUUCACUACAAGAAUUUAAAAAUAUAACUGGAGACCUUAACACCAGGCUAGACCAAAGAAACAAUUUGAGAGCUCAAAAACUGGUUAUUCAAAUCAACCUAGACAAAAAUCAAGAAAAGUGAAUUUAAAAAUAAAAUCUUCAAGAAAUAUGAGAUUAUGUAAACAGAGAAAAACCUACGAGUCAGUGGCAUUCCUGAGAGAGAAGGAGGGAGAGUAAGCAACUUGGAAAACAUAUUUUAGGAUAUAAUUCAUAAAAAUUCCCCUAAUCUCACCAGAGGGGUCAACAUGCAAAGUCAAGAAAUUCAGGGAACCCUUGAAAGAUACUUACAAGAUGACUAUCCCCAAGACACAUAGUCAUCAGACUCUCUAGGGUGAACAUGAAAGAAAAAAAUCUUGAAGGUAACUAGAGAAAAGUCAGGUCACUUACAAAGAAAACCCUAUCAGGCUAACAUCAGACUUCUCAGCUGAAAUUUUACAAGCCUGAAGAGAUUGGGGGCCUAUUUUAAGCACUUUUUAAAUGAAAUUCUAAUCAAUUUUAUAUUCUUCCAAACUAAGCUUCAUAAGCAAAGGAGAAAUAAAAUCUUCCAGACAAGCAGUCACUAAGGGAAUCUAUUACUGCUAGACCGGCCUUACAAGAGAUUCUAAGGGAGUUCUAAACAUGAAAACAAAAGAACACCUGCUACCACAAAAUUACAUUUAAGUAAUAUAGCCCACCAAUUAUAUAAAGAAACUACACAAUUGAGAUUACAAAGCAACCAGCUAACAACAUCAUGACAGGAUGAAAACCUCACAUAUCAAUAUUAACCUUGAAUGCAAAUGAUCUCAACACCCCACUUAAAAGGCACAGAGUGGCAAGUUAGAUUUUUAAAAAACCAAGACCUGAGCUGGGCAUGGUGGCUUAUGCCUGUAAACCCAUCACUUUGGGAAGCAGAGGUGGGCAGAUCACGAGGUCAGGAGUUCGGGACUAGCCUGGCCAACAUGGUAAAACCCCAUCUCUACUAAAAAUACAAAAAUUAGCUGGGCAUGGUGGUGGGCACCUGUAAUCCCAGCUACUUGGGAGGCUGAGGCAAGGGAAUCAUUUGAACCCAGGAGGUGGAGGUUGCAGUGAGCAGAGAUCGCGUCAUUGCACUCCAGCCUGGGUGACAGGGUGAGACUCUGUCAAAAUAAAAAAGAAAAGAAAAAAAGAAAAGAAAAGACCAAGACCCAACAAUCUGCAGUCUUCAAGAUAUCCUUCUCACAUACAAGGAUACCCAUAGGCAAAAAAACAUCAAGAAAUGGAGAAAGAUCUAUCAUGCAAACAGAAAACAAAAACAACAAGGGCCAAGCAUCACUAUUCUUAUAUCAGAUAAAACAGAAUUUAAACAAAAAAAGAAAGAAAAAAAAAAAGAACAAAGAUAGGCAUUACAUCACAUAAAGGGUUCAAUUCAACAAGUCUUAAUUAUCCUAAGUAUAUAAAUACCCAACAUUGGAGCACCCAGAUUCAUAAACAAGUACUUAAAGACCUACAAAAAAAUUAGACAACCCCACAAUAAUAGCUGGGGGGCUUCUACACCCCAUUAGCAGCGUUAGAUCAUCAAGGCAGAAAACUCACAAAGAAAUUCUGGACUUAAAUUCAACACUUGGCCAAUUGGACCUAAUAGACAUCUGCAGAACACUACACCCAACAACCACAGAAUAUACAUUCUUCCCAUUGACACACAGAACACACUCUAAAAUAGAAUACAUGCUUGGCCAUAAAACAAGUCUCAGUAAAUUCAAAAAAAUCAAAAUUAUAUCAAGCACAUUCUUGGAACACAGUGGAAUAAAAAUAGAAAUCAAUACCAGGAAGACACCUCAAAAUCACACAAUCACAUGGAAAUUAAACAGCUUGCUCAUAAAUGAC
rnacentral:lncRNA from 1 species